rnacentral:rRNA from 1 species
GCAAGUCGAGCGGACAGAUGGGAGCUUGCUCCCUGAUGUUAGCGGCGGACGGGUGAGUAACACGUGGGUAACCUGCCUGUAAGACUGGGAUAACUCCGGGAAACCGGGGCUAAUACCGGAUGCUUGUUUGAACCGCAUGGUUCAAACAUAAAAGGUGGCUUCGGCUACCACUUACAGAUGGACCCGCGGCGCAUUAGCUAGUUGGUGAGGUAAUGGCUCACCAAGGCAACGAUGCGUAGCCGACCUGAGAGGGUGAUCGGCCACACUGGGACUGAGACACGGCCCAGACUCCUACGGGAGGCAGCAGUAGGGAAUCUUCCGCAAUGGACGAAAGUCUGACGGAGCAACGCCGCGUGAGUGAUGAAGGUUUUCGGAUCGUAAAGCUCUGUUGUUAGGGAAGAACAAGUGCCGUUCAAAUAGGGCGGCACCUUGACGGUACCUAACCAGAAAGCCACGGCUAACUACGUGCCAGCAGCCGCGGUAAUACGUAGGUGGCAAGCGUUGUCCGGAAUUAUUGGGCGUAAAGGGCUCGCAGGCGGUUUCUUAAGUCUGAUGUGAAAGCCCCCGGCUCAACCGGGGAGGGUCAUUGGAAACUGGGGAACUUGAGUGCAGAAGAGGAGAGUGGAAUUCCACGUGUA